rnacentral:rRNA from 1 species
UAAUACAUGCAAGUCGAACGCUUUGUGCUUAAUUGAUAUGACGAGCUUGCUCUGAUUUGAUUUUUUGAUUUCAAAGAGUGGCGAACGGGUGAGUAACACGUGGGUAACCUACCUCUUAGCAGGGGAUAACAUUUGGAAACAAGUGCUAAUACCGUAUAAUACCAACAACCGCAUGGUUGUUGGUUGAAAGAUGGUUCUGCUAUCACUAAGAGAUGGACCCGCGGUGCAUUAGCUAGUUGGUAAGGUAAUGGCUUACCAAGGCAAUGAUGCAUAGCCGAGUUGAGAGACUGAUCGGCCACAAUGGGACUGAGACACGGCCCAUACUCCUACGGGAGGCAGCAGUAGGGAAUCUUCCACAAUGGGCGCAAGCCUGAUGGAGCAACGCCGCGUGUGUGAUGAAGGGUUUCGGCUCGUAAAACACUGUUAUAAGAGAAGAACGGCACUGAGAGUAACUGUUCAGUGUGUGACGGUAUCUUACCAGAAAGGAACGGCUAAAUACGUGCCAGCAGCCGCGGUAAUACGUAUGUUCCAAGCGUUAUCCGGAUUUAUUGGGCGUAAAGCGAGCGCAGACGGUUAUUUAAGUCUGAAGUGAAAGCCCUCAGCUCAACUGAGGAAUUGCUUUGGAAACUGGAUGACUUGAGUGCAGUAGAGGAAAGUGGAACUCCAUGUGUAGCGGUGAAAUGCGUAGAUAUAUGGAAGAACACCAGUGGCGAAGGCGGCUUUCUGGACUGUAACUGACGUUGAGGCUCGAAAGUG